AUGGGCCCACACAGGAAGUUGGGGAUCUAUGUGGGGUACAAAUCGCCGUCGAUUAUUAAGUACCUGGAACCCCUAACUGGGGAUCUGUUCACAGCCCGUCACGCUGAUUGCAUAUUUAAUGAGGAACAUUUUCCGGCAUUAGGGGGAGAUUUCAAGUACCAGAAAGAAUGCCCGGAAAUUGAUUGGAAUGCUCAUUCCAUUUCAUCCUCUGAUCCACGUACCCAUGAGACCGAACUUCAAGUUCGGAAGAUCAUUAAUUUGCAACAUCUUGCAAAUAAUCUGCCAGAUUCAUUUACUAAUUUGAAAGGUGUUACAAAAUCCUUAAACCCGGCCAGAAAAACGCCAGAAAGAGUGGAGGUACCAAUAAAAACCACUCAACUCCCUAUUCCUAAAAAGAGGGGGAGUAGUACGGCCUCUGACCCGGAGCAUGCUUCUAGCAAGCAGCAAAGGAAAUCGAGGAAAAAAACCUCGGAGUCAGUAAAUGCAGGUCAACUCAACAUUGACAAACACCUGAUGGGUAGUAUACACCCAGUGGAAGGGCAACCUCCACAACCCAGUUCCAGUAUGCACAAACUAACUGGGACAUCGGAACACCCAGACUCGAUCGUAUUGGGAAAUCACGAAGAGUCACUAGGGGUGCAGGAAAUUUCCAUCAACUAUGUUGAUUCUGGAGAAUCAUUUGACCGUAAGACUACGACUGUCGACAUAUACUUUGCUGAAAAGAUUGCAGAUACCCUUCUCACUGAUCAUGAUCCAAGGUCUAUCGUUGAGUGCCAAAAGCGCUCCGACUGGCCUAAAUGGAAGGAUGCAAUCCAAGCAGAAAUUGCCUCGUUUAACAAAAGAAAGGUAUUCACUGAAGCAAUACCUACACCUCCCAGUGUUUUCCCUGUGGGAUUCAAAUGGGUUUUUCUCCGGAAACGGAAUGAGAACAAUGAGGUGGUGAGAUAUAAAGCAAGGCUCGUAGUACAAGGUUUCACGCAAAAACCCGGCAUUGAUUUCACUGAAACAUAUUCUCCAGUAAUGAGUGCAACCACUUUCCGAUAUCUUAUAUCCUUGGCAGUGCAAAAUCGUCUAUCUAUGCAGUUGAUGGACGUCGUGACCGCAUACCUUUACGGGUCACUAGAUUCGGACAUAUAUAUGAAGGUUCUUGAUGGAAUCUCUGUCCCGAAUAAAAAUGCAAAACGCAACAUGUAUUGUGUAAAGCUGAAUAAGUCAUUAUAUGGCUUAAGGCAGUCGGGACGGAUGUGGUGCAACCGACUCAGUGAGUUCCUUCUUCAGAAAGGUUACUCCAAUAGUACUGAUUGCCCAUGUGUUUUCUUCAAGAAGUCCUCUACAGGAUUUUGCAUCAUUUCUGUGUAUGUUGACGAUCUCAACAUCAUCGGCAGCACACCAGACAUUGAUGAAGCACGCAAUCACCUAAAGAUGGAAUUUGAGAUGAAGGAUUUGGGUAAAACCAAAUUUUGCUUAGGUAUUCAACUUGAGCAUUUUCCCUCAGGAAUCAUGGUACACCAAUCUGCCUAUAUCCAGAAAAUAUUGGAGAAAUUCAAUAUGGACAAAUCCUAUCCAUCUAAAACUCCCAUGGUGGUUCGAUCUCUAGACAUAGAGAAAGAUCCGUUCAGACCAAGGGAUGAUGGAGAAGAGGUGUUGGGACCUGAAGUUCCAUACCUUAGUGCUGUUGGAGCGCUUAUGUAUCUUGCAAAUUGCACAAGACCUGAUAUUGCAUUUGCAGUGAAUCUACUUGCUAGACAUAGCGCAGCUCCCACCAAACGUCAUUGGUCUAGAGUGAAGAAUAUCUUUCGAUAUCUCCAAGGCACAAAGGAUCUUGGCCUAUUUUUCCAGUCCCAGAAAAAUCCGGACUCUGAUAUGAUUGGAUAUACAGAUGCCGGUUAUUUGUCUGAUCCCCAUAAUGCCAGAUCUCAGACCGGUUUCGUGUUCCUACAUGGUGGCACUGCUAUAUCAUGGAAGUCUUCGAAACAGACUCUGGUGGCAACAUCUACCAAUCAUUCUGAAAUAAUUUCAUUAUUUGAAGCAACAUGCGAAUGUGUAUGGCUUCGCAGAAUGAUAAACCACAUACAGCAGUCAUGUGGAAUGGGCUCGAUAAAAUCACCUACCAUUAUCUAUGAAGAUAAUGCGGCAUGUGUUGCGCAGAUGCAAACAGGAUACAUCAAGAGUAAUAUCACCAAGCAUAUUUCUCCUAAAUGGUUUUCCCCCAUAAUCUUCAGAAAAGCGGGGAAAUAA
rnacentral:rRNA from 1 species